rnacentral:rRNA from 1 species
CCUACGGGAGGCAGCAGUGGGGAAUAUUGCACAAUGGGCGCAAGCCUGAUGCAGCCAUGCCGCGUGUGUGAAGAAGGCCUUCGGGUUGUAAAGCACUUUCAGCGGGGAGGAAGGCGUUAAGGUUAAUAACCUUGGCGAUUGACGUUACCCGCAGAAGCAGCACCGGCUAACUCCGUGCCAGCAGCCGCGGUAAUACGGAGGGUGCAAGCGUUAAUCGGAAUUACUGGGCGUAAAGCGCACGCAGGCGGUCUGUCAAGUCGGAUGUGAAAUCCCCGGGCUCAACCUGGGAAACUGCAUUCGAAACUGGCAGGCUAGAGUCUUGUAGAGGGGGGUAGAAUUCCAGGUGUAGCGGUGAAAUGCGUAGAGAUCUGGAGGAAUACCGGUGGCGAAGGCGGCCCCCUGGACAAAGACUGACGCUCAGGUGCGAAAGCGUGGGGAGCAAACGGGAUUAGAUACCCGAGUAGUC